AUCCAGCUGACGAGUCUCAAUUAGGACGAAACGUCCUGGAU
rfam:Schistosoma rodhaini strain Burundi genome assembly, scaffold: SROB_scaffold0001984